rnacentral:rRNA from 1 species
CGGAAUCAGGCCGAAAGGUCUGCGCCAGCGAUGGCCGCUUGCGAGGUGCUGCAUGGUUGUCGUCAGCUCGUGCCAUGAGGUGUCGGGUUAAGGUCCCAUAACGAGCGCAACCCCUACUGCUAGUUGCCAGCGGGUCAUGUCGGGGACUCUAGCGGAACUGCCAGCGUAAGCUGCGAGGAAGGUGGGGAGUGACGUCAAAUCAGCACGGCCCUUACGUCCAGGGCUACACACGUGUUACAAUGGCCAGUACAGAGGGCAGCCACCCCGCGAGGGGGCGCUAAUCCUAAAAGCUGGUCCCAGUUCGGAUCGGAGUCUGCAACCCGACUCCGUGAAGCUGGAUUCGCUAGUAAUCGCGCACCAGCCACGGCGCGGUGAAUACGUUCCCGGGCCUU